UACGUAGGGUGCGAGCGUUAAUCGGAAUUACUGGGCGUAAAGCGUGCGCAGGCGGUUUUGUAAGCCAGAUGUGAAAUCCCCAGGCUUAACCUGGGAACUGCAUCCGAUACUGGAUGGCUUGAAUCCGGGAGAGGGAUGCAGAAUUCCAGGUGUAGCGGUGAAAUGCGUAGAUAUCUGGAGGAAUACCGGUGGCGAAGGCGGCAUCCUGGACCGGCAUUGACGCUGAGGAGCGAAAGCUAAGGGGAGCAAACGGGG
rnacentral:rRNA from 1 species